rfam:Loxodonta africana unplaced genomic scaffold scaffold_94, whole genome shotgun sequence.
UGGCUCAGUGGUUAAGCAUUUGGCUGCUAACCGAAAGACUGGCAGUUCGAAUCUACC